GAUGAACGCUGGCGGCGUGCCUAAUACAUGCAAGUCGAGCGAACGGACGAGAAGCUUGCUUCUCUGAUGUUAGCGGCGGACGGGUGAGUAACACGUGGAUAACCUACCUAUAAGACUGGGAUAACUUCGGGAAACCGGAGCUAAUACCGGAUAAUAUUUUGAACCGCAUGGUUCAAAAGUGAAAGACGGUCUUGCUGUCACUUAUAGAUGGAUCCGCGCUGCAUCAGCUAGUUGGUAAGGUAACGGCUUACCAAGGCAACGAUGCAUAGCCGACCUGAGAGGGUGAUCGGCCACACUGGAACUGAGACACGGUCCAGACUCCUACGGGAGGCAGCAGUAGGGAAUCUUCCGCAAUGGGCGAAAGCCUGACGGAGCAACGCCGCGUGAGUGAUGAAGGUCUUCGGAUCGUAAAACUCUGUUAUUAGGGAAGAACAUAUGUGUAAGUAACUGUGCACAUCUUGGCGGUACCUAAUCAGAAAGCCACGGCUAACUACGUG
rnacentral:rRNA from 1 species